rnacentral:rRNA from 1 species
GUGAGGAAUAUUGGACAAUGGGCGCAAGCCUGAUCCAGCCAUGCCGCGUGCAGGAAGACGCAUCUAUGGUGUGUAAACUGCUUUUGUACGGGAAGAAACACUCCCUCGUGAGGGAGCUUGACGGUACCGUAAGAAUAAGGAUCGGCUAACUCCGUGCCAGCAGCCGCGGUAAUACGGAGGAUCCAAGCGUUAUCCGGAAUCAUUUGGUUUAAAGGGUCCGUAGGCGGUUUAAUAAGUCAGUGGUGAAAGCCCAUCGCUCAACGAUGGAACGGCCAUUGAUACUGUUAGACUUGAAUUACAAGGAAGUAACUAGAAUAUGUAGUGUAGCGGUGAAAUGCUUAGAUAUUACAUGGAAUACCAAUUGCGAAGGCAGGUUACUACUUGUGGAUUGACGCUGAUGGACGAAAGCGUGGGGAGCGAACAGGAUUAGAAACCCUUGUAGUCC